UCUUGUGUGAUGAUGAAGAUUGUGUUCUGUUCUGCUCUCAGUCAUGAAGUGUUAAACUCACAGCACUAUAAACACUCUCAGAGCACUGAAGCAUGUGUGACAAUGCAAAGAAGUGGGCAGGAUUUACAACAGACAAACUAAUAUACACUAGAGUCACACUAUGAUCAUUUACAUUCUCACUAAUGUUAGUUUUAGUUAGUUUAGUAGUUUUUAUUUUUUUUUAUUCUGACCACUGAGACACUGAGGAUCAGUGUUGGGGGUAACAUUAGUAAUCAGAUCAAAAUUUCUUUUAUUUUUUCAAACAAGUUACUCAAGUUACUUGUUUGAGAGAAAUGUGAGAGAAAUAAAGUGCAGAGGUGUUGUGUGUGAAUGAUGGUUAUUGUAUAGACUAAAUGUGAAUAUGCAUUUACUCAUCUCACUUACACAAAAUCAGAGUCAGUAUUCCUCAAAAUGAAUAAAAACAGUGAAAUGCAAUCUUGAAAUGUAUUUAUUUUUAAGUUUUAUUGCUGAAGUAAGAGUGUUGAACUUUCUUCUCCUGCAUCCUAUUCUUCUGCAAUCCAGAAUGGCAGCACAGCCUAAAGGUUUGUUUGAGCUGCGCCCUCUACUGUACAGCUGGGAAUUUGCAUUUCCUUCAGUCUGAGGCUUAUUCAUUUCACUUUUGGUGUGAAAUGAAACAUUUUUGUUGUUAUUAAAAACAAGCAAGUCCAGCCCAGGUGAGAAAAAGUAACACAAAACUAAUGUAAUGCAUUACUUUCCACAAUUAGUUACUUUUUUAGGGAGUAAUGCAAUAUUGUAAUGCUGAGGAUGUGCAGAUGAACAUCCAUCUCUGUGUCCACAUUCAGUCAUGUGACCAGUUUGACUCUGGCUUUAAUAGCACAGCUGUGAUUGGUUUAUUUAUCAUCAGCGCUGAGAAAUUUAUGAGGAAUCAUGUGACCAAGUCUCUGCUACAUAUUGUGAAAUUUACAACAGGAUGUUUAAAAAACAAUACAUCACUAUUACAUGUAAAUUAGCAGGUUUAUUGUAAAUAAUAAUAAUAAUCAUAGCUCUUCUGGGCAGUGGAUCAGAUUGUUAAUGCUCCAAGCGGAUUAAUAAUCGGCACAGCUGACGAUGAAAGUGGUCAGAUUGUCUUCAGUGUUGAGGAGACUGGUUUUCCUAAACUUUGGUGUGUAUUAUGAGGGACAAGAGAAGAAAAAGGAAGAAAAGAAGAAAAAGAAAGAAGAGGAUAUGAAACAGAUAAACAGUUCAUUGUCCUUUAUUGGGUGUAUCUCCAGAAACAAGAGAAGCAGUGGAUUCCAGUAACAUGAAGCUCCUGUGAGGACGCUGAACAUCUGCUGAUGGAGCUGCUCUAUUCUGAGAGGAACAGAAUCACCUGAUGAUCAAAUAUGAGUUUCACUGUCCACACUUUAUUCUCUGAAAUGAGUCAGAAGAGUUGGACUAAUGGAGAGAUGAGGUUUGUUCAUGUUCAUCAGUUUAUAAUGAAACACUGUCAGUGUCUGAAGCCUCUGGACUGCUGAGAUCGUCCUUGACUCGGUUAGAGAGUAAGAGCUCCAAGAGUUCAAUCCACAAAACUAUUAAUGAUACGCUGGAUUCAGAAAACAGGUCACGUCUGUGAGCAGUUGUGUUUGUAUGAAUGAAUGAGGGUGAGUGUGGUCUGAAACAAUGACAAAUUAUGCAAAUUAGACACAAAUAUGAACAAUCCUUCUGUUAAACUGUUACAGAUAUUAAACAUUUCCCAUCAUAAACAUAAAUGAAUAAUAAACAAUCAACCAUCAUGUGAACUUCACUGACACUUCCACAAAUGUCAUGUAAUCUUAAUCUGAAAUCACAUACUCUCUUCAGUAGGCACUUAUUUUGAACAAGUAAUUACUUCACGACCGCUAAAAAAGUAUGUUCGGUAUAGUAUGAGUGUGUGUAUGAAUGUAAUCUGGACAUCAGAUGGAGCAAUGAUAUUACGCAGCGCCUCUCAAAAAUGUCUCCAUGGUUGCAAGGCAGCUCCCUGUGCAAGCAGGGGGUCACAGGCACUGUGUAAUAUCAUUGCACCUGCUGCAGCCAUGGUACGGCAGCAAAGUUCCUUGAUCAUUAAGCCAGAAUGAGAGUAUAGUUCCUAGUCAUAUCGGCCUAGAACAUCGCCACUUUUAAUUUUCCGUCGGUCUUAGUACACGAUGUAACUACAGAAGAGUCAAGUUUUAAAUAGGAAAAUUAUUGAAACUCUUUGGUCAUUUUUUAACGAGAUGCUAACGGUCUAAUCAGAUUCAAUGAACUAUGCUAAGCUAUGCUAAAAGUGGUACCGCCAGACCCGGAGAUCGGCUGAAUGGAUUCGAAAACGGUAAAACUCAACUGUUUAACUCAAGGGGAGUUGGAAAAUGAGCCUAUUUUCAAAAAAAGUGGAGUAUUCCUUUAAAGGAAAGGUGUGUAAAAUUCAGUUAUGUUAAAGACAUGUGACCCUCUAGUGGUGAAGUAUGGAAGUCCAAUUAAAGGGAUUGACUUUCCAACAGUAAAUAAUACAGAUAAUAUUGUAGUGUAAAGUUUUGCAAGGACGAGCACCACUCACAUUUUCUCCACAUUUUAGUCCAGUUUAGUAAAGAAUAUAAGAUUGUAUGUUACAUGUUUACUAAAUACAUCAUAAUAAAUAAAUAAAGUCUCUGAAAGGUUUGAUA